GACGAACGCUGGCGGCGUGCCUAAUACAUGCAAGUCGAGCGAGACUCUUCGGAGUCUAGCGGCGGACGGGUGAGUAACACGUGGGCAACCUGCCUGUAAGACUGGGAUAACACCGGGAAACCGGUGCUAAUACCGGAUAAUCCUUUUCCUCUCAUGAGGAAAAGCUGAAAGUCGGUUUCGGCUAACACUUACAGAUGGGACCGCGGCGCAUUAGCUAGUUGGUGAGGUAACGGCUCACCAAGGCGACGAUGCGUAGCCGACCUGAGAGGGUGAUCGGCCACACUGGGACUGAGACACGGCCCAGACUCCUACGGGAGGCAGCAGUAGGGAAUCUUCCACAAUGGACGAAAGUCUGAUGGAGCAACGCCGCGUGAGCGAUGAAGGCCUUCGGGUCGUAAAGCUCUGUUGUUAGGGAAGAACAAGUACCGGAGUAACUGCCGGUACCUUGACGGUACCUAACCAGAAAGCCACGGCUAACUACGUGCCAGCAGCCGCGGUAA
rnacentral:rRNA from 1 species